GCCCCGAUAGCUCAGCUGGAUAGAGCGUCCCCCUCCUAAGGGGAAGGUCUCAGGUUCGAAUCCUGAUCGGGGCG
rnacentral:tRNA from 2 species